GUGAUGGGUUGAUUCAAGCCUCUCCAUGCAAGUCGAGCGGUAGCACAGAGAGCUUGCUCUCGGGUGACGAGCGGCGGACGGGUGAGUAAUGUCUGGGAAACUGCCUGAUGGAGGGGGAUAACUACUGGAAACGGUAGCUAAUACCGCAUAACGUCGCAAGACCAAAGUGGGGGACCUUCGGGCCUCAUGCCAUCAGAUGUGCCCAGAUGGGAUUAGCUAGUAGGUGGGGUAAUGGCUCACCUAGGCGACGAUCCCUAGCUGGUCAGAUGGGAUUAGCUAGUAGGUGGGGUAAUGGCUCACCUAGGCGACGAUCCCUAGCUGGUCUGAGAGGAUGACCAGCCACACUGGAACUGAGACACGGUCCAGACUCCUACGGGAGGCAGCAGUGGGGAAUAUUGCACAAUGGGCGCAAGCCUGAUGCAGCCAUGCCGCGUGUAUGAAGAAGGCCUUCGGGUUGUAAAGUACUUUCAGCGAGGAGGAAGGCGUUAAGGUUAAUAACCUUGGUGAUUGACGUUACUCGCAGAAGAAGCACCGGCUAACUCCGUGCCAGCAGCCGCGGUAAUACGGAGGGUGCAAGCGUUAAUCGGAAUUACUGGGCGUAAAGCGCACGCAGGCGGUCUGUCAAGUCGGAUGUGAAAUCCCCGGGCUCAACCUGGGAACUGCAUUCGAAACUGGCAGGCUAGAGUCUUGUAGAGGGGGGUAGAAUUCCAGGUGUAGCGGUGAAAUGCGUAGAGAAUCUGGAGGAAUACCGGUGGGCGAAAGCGGCCCCUUGGACAAAAACUGACCCCUCAGGUGGCGAAAGCGUGGGGUGGCGAAAGCGUGGACCUCUGGACAAAAGACUGACGCUCAGGUGCGGAAGCGUGGGGAGCAAACAGGAUUAGAUACCCUGGUAGUCCACGCCGUAAACGAUGUCGACUUGGAGGUUGUGCCCUUGAGGCGUGGCUUCCGGAGCUAACGCGUUAAGUCGACCGCCUGGGGAGUACGGCCGCAAGGUUAAAACUCAAAUGAAUUGACGGGGGCCCGCACAAGCGGUGGAGCAUGUGGUUUAAUUCGAUGCAACGCGAAGAACCUUACCUACUCUUGACAUCCAGAGAACUUAGCAGAGAUGCUUUGGUGCCUUCGGGAACUCUGAGACAGGUGCUGCAUGGCUGUCGUCAGCUCGUGUUGUGAAAUGUUGGGUUAAGUCCCGCAACGAGCGCAACCCUUAUCCUUUGUUGCCAGCGAUUCGGUCGGGAACUCAAAGGAGACUGCCAGUGAUAAACUGGAGGAAGGUGGGGAUGACGUCAAGUCAUCAUGGCCCUUACGAGUAGGGCUACACACGUGCUACAAUGGCAUAUACAAAGAGAAGCGACCUCGCGAGAGCAAGCGGACCUCAUAAAGUAUGUCGUAGUCCGGAUUGGAGUCUGCAACUCGACUCCAUGAAGUCGGAAUCGCUAGUAAUCGUAGAUCAGAAUGCUACGGUGAAUACGUUCCCGGGCCUUGUACACACCGCCCGUCACACCAUGGGAGUGGGUUGCAAAAGAAGUAGGUAGCUURAACCUUCGGGAGGGCGCUACUAGAUUUGGAUCCAAUGCCCCCGG
rnacentral:rRNA from 1 species